UACGAAGGGGGCUAGCGUUGUUCGGAAUUACUGGGCGUAAAGCGCGCGCAGGCGGUCUUCCAAGUCAGUGGUGAAAGCCCGGAGCUCAACUCCGGAACUGCCAUUGAAACUGUUGGACUUGAGUACGAGAGAGGUGAGUGGAAUUCCCAGUGUAGAGGUGAAAUUCGUAGAUAUUGGGAAGAACACCGGUGGCGAAGGCGGCGAUCUGGGUCGAUACUGACGCUGAGGUGCGAAAGCGUGGGGAGCAACAGG
rnacentral:rRNA from 1 species